rnacentral:tRNA from 1 species
GUGGAUGUAGCUCAAUUGGUGGAGCACUGGGUUGUGGCCCCAGAGGUCGAGGGUUCGAGCCCCUUCAUCCACC